rnacentral:rRNA from 1 species
UGGGGAAUAUUGGUCAAUGGAGGAAACUCUGAACCAGCAACGCCGCGUGAAUGAUGAAGGUCUUCGGAUUGUAAAGUUCUUUUCUAAGGGAAGAAGAAAGUGACGGUACCUUAGGAAUAAGCCUCGGCUAACUACGUGCCAGCAGCCGCGGUAAUACGUAGGAGGCGAGCGUUAUCCGGAAUGACUGGGCGUAAAGGGUGCGUAGGUGGUUUGACAAGUUGGUAGCGUAACUCCGAGGCUCAACCUCGGCACUACUACCAAAACUGUCGGACUUGAGUGCAGGAGGGGCAAUUGGAAUUCCUA